AAAUCAGAAAACGUACAAAAAAUUUUUUCCAUAUUAUUCUUAUGGAAAAUAGAAAAAAUUGAUGAGGAACCUCUUAAUGUUAAUAUUAAGAGCUCUAAUUUUCACAGGCAUCUUUUUUUAUCUCAAUAAAACUUUUGAACCUGUUUCCGCCAAAAAAAAAAAAAUUUGUUAUUUUUUAGAUCACCCUAAUAUACAUAAAUCAAAUAAGUGUAUCAUUUUUUUCGAUGCAACUUUACUAUGUCAGUUAUCGUGGUUCGAAGACAAGCUCGCUGACCACUUGAUCACGAGCACCGCUUAUGUAAUAUGUUCAUGUCAGUUAUCUUAUGUAAAUAAAUGGAAUUUUUUUUCGAUGAUGAUCAAGUUCACAUACGAGAAAAGUCGAGUGAUAUAAAUUACAUCUCAACUCAACGAUAUCAUUAGUCAAGAGUAGUAAUUUUUUCGCUGCUCAUUGUUCUAUUUGUUGCCAAAUAAAAAUGUCCAAGUUAAUUAUUUUCAUGUGUUUGGUUGCAUUGUUUGCUGUCGGAGCAAACGCUUGUGUAGGUCAUGGAGCGGACUGCACAACCGAGUUUUGCUGCUCUGGAUAUGUUUGUAGGAAAAAUUACUUUAAUUAUCUAACAUGUUCGGAUGUCAGUCCUGAAGUGGGUUACGAACGAACAUAAUAAAUUAACUUGUCUGUAUCAUUAUUGAAGUCAUUAUAAUUAAUAAUGUAUUUAAUGAUCUAUUGAUUACUUAACAUAAUAAACAAUUCAGUUUGA